rnacentral:rRNA from 1 species
GAUGAACACUGGCGGCGUGCCUAAUACAUGCAAGUCGAGCGAACGGACGAGAAGCUUGCUUCUCUGAUGUUAGCGGCGGACGGGUGAGUAACACGUGGAUAACCUACCUAUAAGACUGGGAUAACUUCGGGAAACCGGAGCUAAUACCGGAUAAUAUUUUGAACCGCAUGGUUCAAAAGUGAAAGACGGUCUUGCUGUCACUUAUAGAUGGAUCCGCGCUGCAUUAGCUAGUUGGUAAGGUAACGGCUUACCAAGGCAACGAUGCAUAGCCGACCUGAGAGGGUGAUCGGCCACACUGGAACUGAGACACGGUCCAGACUCCUACGGGAGGCAGCAGUAGGGAAUCUUCCGCAAUGGGCGAAAGCCUGACGGAGCAACGCCGCGUGAGUGAUGAAGGUCUUCGGAUCGUAAAACUCUGUUAUUAGGGUAGAACAUAUGUGUAAGUAACUGUGCACAUCUUGACGGUACCUAAUCAGAAAGCCACGGCUAACUACGUG